CCCCUCUCAGGGUGGCCCCAGGGGAGUUUCCAGUACUCUGCCAGUCUCGGCUAUGGGAGGGAGAGUCAAGCAGAGGCAUAGCCAUUCUAUUCCUAGCUUGGCCUGUGGCUAGCGAGUGGAAGGCAAUGUGCUACAAGU